rnacentral:lncRNA from 1 species
UAAAAACUCAUCAUACCGCACAAUUAAUCCAUAAAAUAAAUUGCUUGUAAAUAAAUUGCUAGUAUGGACGAUAAACCUGCACCAUACUUUAAAUAAAAGUAAAUGUGUGAUAGAGUAAAUUCAUAAAUUAAAUUGCCUCAUGUAUGGACGUUAAUCCCGCACCAUACUUUAAAUAAUAAAGUAAAUGUGCGAUAAAGUAAAUGUACUGGUAUGGGCAUUAAUUCUAUUCCAUAUUUUUAAAUAAAAAGUAGAGACAGUU